CCAUGUCCAGGCCUUUGAGGCCGAUGUUGCAUGAAGUGGUUCCUAGAAAAGCCUCUACGUUAGGCCGUACCAAAACCGACACAGGUGGACGAGGCGCAUAGCCUCAGGCGCUCGAGAGAACGGUCGUGAAGGAACUAGGCAAAUUAACCCCGUAAGUUCGCGAUAAGGGGGCCCGUCUCGCAAGAGCGGGCGCAGAGAAAAGGCUCUGGGAACUGUUUAUCAAAAACACAGCUCUGUGCUAAGACGCAAGUCGAUGUAUACAGAGUGACGCUUGCCCGAUACCGGAAUGUCAAGGAAGCGAGUUAGCGAAAGCGAAGCCCGCGACCUAAGCACCGGUGAAUGGCGGCCGUAACUAUGACGGUCCUAAGGUAGCGAAGUUCCUUGUCGGGUAAGUUCCGACGCGCAUGAAUAGCGUAAUCACUGGAGCACUGUCUCCACGACCGACUCGGUGAAAUAGAAGUGGCGGUGCAGAUGCCGCCUACCCGCAGCAAGACGGAAAGACCCCGUGGACCUUCACUGUAGGUUCUCAUUGGUCACGAGCAUACUCUGCGUAGCAUAAGUGGGAGGCUUUGAAGCCUGGGUUCCGGCCCAGGAACAGCCGACAAGUGAAAUACCACUCUGAGCACGUUUGUGGCCUAACUUCGAUUCCCAUGAAUCUGGGCGAAGGACAGUGUGAGCUGGGCAGUUUGACUGGGGCGGUCUCCUCCAAAAGAGUAACGGAGGAGUGCAAAGGUCGGCUCAGUACGGAUGGAAACCGUACCAAGAGUGCAAUGGCAUAAGCCGGCUUUACAGCGAGUCCGACGGGACGAGCUGUUACGAAAGUAGGUCAUAGUGAUCCUGCGGUCCCGUGUGGAAGGGCCGUAGCUCAACGGAUAAAAGGUACCCCGGGGAUAACAGGCUGAUCGCGCCCGAGCGUCCAUAGCGGCGGCGCGGUUUGGCACCUCGAUGUCGGCCCAUCACAUCCUGGGGCUGAAGGCGGUCCCAAGGGUUCGGCUGUUCGCCGAUUAAAGUGGUACGCGAGCUGGGUUCAGACCGGCGUGAGCCAGGUCGGUCCCUAUCUGUUGUGGGCGUUGCAAGCUUGAGAGGAGUCAACUUUAGUACGAGAGGAUUGGGUUGGACGUACCCCUGGUGAUCCAGUUGGACUGCUAAGUCCACCGCUGGGUAGCUACGUACGGCAGGGAUAACCGCUGAAAGCAUCUAAGCGGGAAGCCCCCCUCAAGACAAGGCUUGCUAGUCGUAAGACGAGAGACCCCUGGUAGACCACCAGGUUGAUAGGCCACGCGUGCACGGGUAGAGAUACCCUCAGCGGAGUGGUCCUAACGGUCAAAGGCCGGUCAC
rnacentral:rRNA from 1 species